UACGGAGGGUGCGAGCGUUGUCCGGAAUCACUGGGCGUAAAGGGCGCGUAGGUGGCGCAGGAAGUCAACGGUGAAAGUUCGGGGCUCAACCCUGAAUCGGCCGUCGAUACUCCUGGGCUCGAGCACUGUAGAGGCAGAUGGAAUUCCGGGUGUAGCGGUGGAAUGCGUAGAGAUCCGGAAGAACACCGGUGGCGAAGGCGGUCUGCUGGGCAGUUGCUGGACACUGAGGCGCGACAGCGUGGGGAGCAAACAGGGAUAAGAAACCCCGGUUGAGCCCAGAACCGAAC
rnacentral:rRNA from 1 species